rnacentral:lncRNA from 1 species
CUGGGUGCUUCAUCUGACAGGUCUUUGAUUUUCACCAAAGAAACUUCUGGGUGUUUCCCAGUGUCCUUGAUCACUGGCACAUGGAUGGGUCUUUCUGCAGUGUCCAAGCUCUCUGUGGAGGAAACGCUCUCUCGGCUGGAAGGGGAGGUCUCAAAUGCCAAGUCCUCCAGGUGCUCACAUUCAUGAGGAACUGUCUUUGCUCCCUGCUCUUCCAGGACUCCUGGCUCCUCACUCACAGCAAGGUAGGGUUCUGCAAAGUCAUCCUGCUCAGAGGUUUCUCCUCUUCCACGCUGUUGGACAGAAGGGAAGGAGGUGUCUGUGUGUGCUUGGCUGCCUUUGUAGAUUGUCUCUCUGUGAGGAGAAAUGUGCUUCCUGCUUCUCUUCUCUCCAGAAACUGACUCUGCCCAAACAUUCAUCUCUUCAGAGAGGGAAACCAUCUCAUCCACYAAGCCCUCCAGCACAGCAGACUCCUCGUCACUGUAAAAGGAAGAUCUGUGGUGUGACAGCUCCUGACCRUGAUCCCUGCGGAGCAGCGAUGGGGCAGCUUUUCCAGCAUCACCUCUUCCAUCUUCUAAGGCAAUGCCUCCACCCUCACCAUAAACYUCUGGAUAUUCCUCAUAUUCCAUUUCAUAUGCUGAAGCUGGAGCACCUUCUGGUUGUGAAGCAGUUAAUGCACCUGAACUGCCACUCUGCAGACCAUGUGAAAUCUCAGCCCUGUGCUGCUCAAACACCCCGUGUCCAGCCUUGGGGAAAGGAGCAGCCACAGCUUGUCCAGCUGCUYGACUUCCACUUGCUGUCACAACAGAUCUCAUCUCACUGUGAACUGACACCUCUGGRUGUUGUUGAUUUUCACUCUCCCAGACCUGAGGGAGGGCAGUGCUUUGGGAGGGUGCAGCUCUGGCUGGGUGUCUGCUCUCCAGAGCAGCAGGCUCUGAGCCAUGGCCUUCAGGAACCUUCUGGGGCUCAGCUCCUUCAUGGGCCAAACUGGAAACAACCUCUGUGACAGCUGAGCUUUUACUCCUCAGAGCAGCAGGUUUCUCCUUGCUGAGAGCCUGCUGUGCUCCAUCGGAGACCAGAGCUGGUGCUG